rnacentral:misc_RNA from 1 species
GGUAACUAGAUAAUUCAGAUCUUUAGAUAUCUUUCCUGUAAUGGCAAAUCCAGAUCUGAAAUACGAAAUACGUCCUCUAAGUAACAGCACGAAGCCAAAUGUUACUUGGAUAUUAGAGCCUCAGAUCUCCGAUGUAGAAGUCUUCAAUCAUGUCGAAGACUCGAGUUGCAUGUUGUGGCCCAUAAAACCCUUCUGUAGAAUCAUCCCCAGCAUGUGUUAGGAUGGCAUCCCCUCCUGGAUGUUCUUCAACAUAGGAGGUAACAUCGUACACCUUGUUCUUGAUAAUGACCCAACAAUCAGUUCUCUUGUUAUGAACCGAGACUUCAUCUUUACUGUAG